AAAGUACCCCGCUUACACCGGGAUUAUAUCUAUUAAACUUAGAUUAUUUUGAG
rnacentral:tRNA from 1 species